rnacentral:rRNA from 1 species
AUUGAACGCUGGCGGCAGGCCUAACACAUGCAAGUCGAGCGGAUGACGGGAGCUUGCUCCUUGAUUCAGCGGCGGACGGGUGAGUAAUGCCUAGGAAUCUGCCUGGUAGUGGGGGACAACGUUUCGAAAGGAACGCUAAUACCGCAUACGUCCUACGGGAGAAAGCAGGGGACCUUCGGGCCUUGCGCUAUCAGAUGAGCCUAGGUCGGAUUAGUUAGUAGGUGAGGUAAUGGCUCACCUAGGCGACGAUCCGUAACUGGUCUGAGAGGAUGAUCAGUCACACUGGAACUGAGACACGGUCCAGACUCCUACGGGAGGCAGCAGUGGGGAAUAUUGGACAAUGGGCGAAAGCCUGAUCCAGCCAUGCCGCGUGUGUGAAGAAGGUCUUCGGAUUGUAAAGCACUUUAAGUUGGGAGGAAGGGUUGUACGUUAAUACCGUGCAAUUUUGACGUUACCGACAGAAUAAGCACCGGCUAACUCUGUGCCAGCCGCCGCAGUAAUAC